AGUUUUGGUCGUCCGACUCCCUUCCCUUCGUCGCGCACAUGGGCCAAAGCCCAACGAACCCACUUCUCCUUUCGCUGUUCAAUCGUAUCUUCCUCUCGAUCCCUAUCUCCACCGCCGCCAUCGAUCCCAACACCACCACAUCGCAGGAGCGCGUACAGAGGACGGUGGCGCGGAGAGUGGCGCCGACCCAUGCCACUGCUGGCCUCCUCCUCGAGCCGGCCUGGACGGAGUGCUGUGGGAAGCUUCUUCGGGAGAUAGAUGCUCAGGGAAUGGAGGGGGAGGGAUGAGAUUUGUGCAGAUUUUCCUUCUCCCUCCUCUAUCUGUCUUUUCCUCUCGAUCUAUCUCCUCCAUGCCUCGGAGAAGCGGAUCAAGUUGCAGCGGCAGUGGCAGCACGGGGCUGAGGGAACACAGUAGGAGGGGGUGUCAGCCAAGGAGGGUGUCUGCUGCAGCUAUAACCGCUCUGAUGUCCAUACCAUCCAGAUCGAUGCCACCCAAUAGCAGAAUCUGAAGAACAAGGUGAUCUGGUUCUUGGAGAGAUAAUAUUGCUUCUUGUCACUGGAGGAUUUUGUAGCGGGCUUAUAUGAUGAGUGUCUUCGUAAAUAUGGCUCUAUGAAUGUCUGGAGAUAUUGCACAAAAAUAUUCGACUAUUUAAGUUUGUCUGCUCUUAUUGAGAACUAAAUCUUCAGUAUCCAUGGAGGUUUUCCCCUGCUAUCACGACACUGGAUCAGGCAAACAAUGCAGUAGUGACAACUCAGAGGGCACCAAUGCAGCAGUGGCUGGCACUCAUGCAUGCAUAGUGUACAACAUGAAACUUGUUGCUUUGAAUUCCGGUGCAUCUCCAUAGUAAAUAGUGAAGAUAGGAUUUUAACAGAUCAUAAUAGUAGCAUACAUUAUGCUUUGAGCAGAUCAUAGGAGUUUUAAUCUUUCUCCAGUAUGUUCAGUCUUUUCAGUAAUAUAAACGUAUCUCUGUCAUUAGAAGGUUAUCUGGUUCUUCCACUAAUUUUUCCAUUGGUUUCAAUAAAUGGGAGUGACUCCUAUACACUUUGAGCAACCAGUUCAUAGAGAUUAUUGCGGGUGUCUCCAUGAUGUUAGCAUUGCUACAAUGGACAAAUACAGAGUCGUUGUUAUUGAUGAUGAAAGCUGUCAGAGUUUGUUUUUUUUCGAUAAAGGGAAUAUAUUCAGUCAGAGUUUGUUUGAUGCUCAGAAAAUAAUACAUGGAAAUCUUGCUCAUGUUAUUGAACCAGAGAAGUCAGGGUUCGCUGACAAAUUAUGUUUGGUUGGACAGUGGUAUUUUUCUGAUUCAUCAUUAACACGUAGCAUAUUGGCAUGCAGGUUGUUAAAAGUGCAUCCCCGGCUUACUUCUAUGGAGAACAUACUAUGUUUAUAAUCGUAUAUAAAUGUUUAUGGUUUGAACAUUGAACCAUGGCAGAAGAAUUUUGCACUCCACGCCACCUGGUCACUAUGAAAGAUCCGUCCUCUAUACCAAUUGCAGUUGCCAUGGCUGGACUGACCUUGCCAUUAGUGCAGUCCAUUUGCUCUGGUACAUGGUGAGAGUAUUUAUCAAGCUAGGAGAAGAUUCAGAUAUUGCGGAGUUUUGUACUGCAGUGCACCUACUCUCGUCCAUGGCGAGAAUAUAUAUGGAGCGAGGCCAAUAUGUAAAUAUUGAUGUCGAGGCCUCCACGAGCGCGUUGAGUUAACUUGGGGCCCAUCCACAGGUCGGUUUGAGGGAGAUGGUGCUCUUUGACUUUUCUUUCGCAUCUCUCUCGAAUGUUUCCCUUCUCGCGUCUCUAGCUCCUUCUCUCUAUCUGUGGCAGCGGCGAAGAAUCCAGCGGCUAGGCGGCCUCUCCUCGGCCUCUCCUCUGGACAUGAGUGGCGGCGGCGAAGCAUCUGGCGGCCUCUCCUCUCUCUCUCUCUCUCUCCCUGCCCCCUCUCCUCUGUACAGGAGAUAGAUUCCCUUCUUCAUCGGCGACGGCCGCCGCGCACGCCUAAUGGGUGGGGAGGAGAGGCAGCACGAGAUCCCCGUAGAGUCGUGCCUCCCAUCGGAACUAGAGGGAGGGAUGGAGAGCGUCAGCACUCUUGCCGGCCAGCCGGCUGGAGGAGGGAGCCGGUAGCCGAAGGAGGGGCGACGCUAGCCAGGCACGAUGGUGGCGGUGGCCGGAAGUUCCGCCGUUUUUCAGGGCGCUUGGACAAGGGACUCGAGGACCUCCACUGCCUCCUCACCCUAUGGGUCUGGAAGGAGGAUGGAGGGAGCAGCGGUUGCCCUCUUCCCGGCCGGCGGGUCUGAAUCGGUACUAGGAGAAUAUGGUGAGAAACAUGGCGUCGGGUGGAGGGGAUUCGGGAUUGGUGGAACUAGCCGCUGUGUCUCCUCUCUCCCAAUUUCACGCCGGUGGUGCACGGGGCCGGGGCGUCCAACGAAGAGCGGCCACAAGCGUGUAUUGGGGAGGUUCGUCUGUCAACCGACGACAACAAGUAUAGGCGCGAGGACGUGGGCUUGAGGAGAACCUGCUCGAUGAGGUUGGUCUGUCGAGGAGCUUGACUGCAAGAUCCUCAUCUCCGUCUGCUGCAAGAGUAAGGGAAGAAGCAGAGGGAAAUCUCGAAGGUACUCAAGAUUAUUUGAUAGGUAUUAUUUAGUUUAUUCAUAUCUUGGAUAAUAGUUUGGGUAUGAACUUUGAGUGCAUCUUAUCUCAUCUUAUUAUAAUAUGAGAAGAAUAUGUACUAACUACUAAGGAUUUUGUAUGAUGACACGAUGAUUCAGAGUUGAUGGAGUCGAGAUAAGCAUAGCCCCGUCACAUGCUUGGUAAGAUGAGACUAUGCUUUGGUGUGCAUCAUUUGAGGGGUUUCCUCCGCAUACACCUAUGUGGGAACAAAAUUGAGAUGUAGGGUAUUAUUAUGCAUUUCGUAUUUAGCUGCAAAUUUAGAUUUGGGAGGUUUACUACGGUUUUUAUUCCCCAAAUUCUUUCCAUAGAAGGAAUUUGACACCAUUGGUAUAUAUCAAGUAAAAUGAUCACACCUCUACUAUUCAGUUGAGAGGUUAUAGUAUACUAAAGAAAGAAUUUGGCAGCUGUGCCAACACAUAAUAUCAAUGCAUUUAGAGUUAAGUUGAAAUACACAGAACUUCUUUCUUUUGUUUUGAGUAGUCUGAAACAUCUGGAGAAGCUGAGAGCUAAAUUCAUUUGCCUGAACAAAGAAACAAGGUAAAUUACGGCAGAGUUGUGAGAGAAAAAAGUGACAUGUGUUUAGGUCCUAAAAUUGCACUCACUUUAUUUGUGAACUUACGUUCUAUUUCUUAGGAAUGUUGGCUCUUCGUCGCGCAAGUUGUAUCCAAAUGUUUGUUUCAUCUCGGGAAUGUUGGCUGUUCGACACGCAGGUUGUAGGCAAAUGGUUGUAAUCCUUCGUGCUCCUUAGCUGGAUACACAUGUUGUUCAAGGGCAGAAGAGGCAUGUGACUUUUGGUGCUCUGGUAGGCAACUAAAUAUCUGGCAUGCAGACAGAUAACUUUGGAGGAUAUUCAAAUGAGCCGGUACGUGCUCAGAAGCCAGAAUGGGAUUUUUUGUUGUAAAUUUUCGUUUAAAUACAUAUAUUUUCUUAUUGAUGUAUUUUCUAUUGCACUGGUGUGACAAAUUUCGGAAUUAGGGAUAGCACAUCCCUGGUCUUGUGCGAGUCGACGCAUUAUACAACUUUGGUGCCUAUUUCUUAGAAUAUUUGCAUGUAGUUCAAUUGUUAACAAAUAUAGAUUUUGCACAGGAGGCAUUCACUGUAGGUUGACUUUGGUACUUACAGAAAAAAAAUGCAUGUCGUCUCCAAAAAAAAAAUGCAUGUGCAUUUGCAACCCUUUCAGUUCUGUUAACUCUUCUAAUUUCUUAAUAUGCUCAAUUCACCAUAUCUUUAAUUCAGUUUUAUGAAAAGUAUCACUGUUUAGCAUUUUUCGCCUAUGCUUGCUGCAAGUAUUUUACCUUCCACAUGAACUUCAUAUGGAAAUUGGAAAUGACCGUGGCUUCGUCAAGUUGCGUGACAUUGCAGGCUAAAAAGCUAUGCUAAUAAGAUUCAGUCUUCAGUUUAUUACUACCCACAAUUUUCAGAAUAUAGCAGUUCUGUUGGGUGGAGCUCUCAGGAGCCUGGGGGCAUACAGACCUCUGGGUAUCAUUCAGGUUGUUAUUACGGCUAUCAACCAUCGAUAAACCAACGCAGUAUAGGGACAGAUCACCCUGCUUCUAGAAAUAAUGAAGAGGGUUUCCAUGACCCGAGGAAGCAAAAUCUUUCCUUCAUCCUGGGCAACUGAGCCAGUUGAGUUUUGGGCAUCCGACUAACAGAAAUGUGAGAAUAUCAUGUAACAUUUGAGUCAUUGACAGUAGAUGCAGGUCAUGGAAGCUGCCAUCUGAAUUGGAUAUGUAUGUGUAACAACUGGCAAACAUGGUUUGUUGUCGUGCAAUGGUGGAUACGGAAUUUGCACAGGUGGUAUGCUAUAAAACUGAUA